AGCUCAUGAAAACCCCAAAUUCACAAUCUCAGUAAAUUAGAAUAUUACAUGCAAUCAAUAAAACAAGGAGUGUACAUAGAACGAUAUUGGACCUCUGAAAAGUAUAAGCAUGCAUAUGGACUCAGUACUUGGUUUGGGCCCCUUUUGCAGCAAUUACUGCCUCAAUGCGGCGUGGCAUGGAAGCUAUCAGUCUGUGGUAUUGUUGAGAUGUCAAUAGCAGCCUUCAGCUCUUCUGCAUUAUUCGGUCUCAUGUCUCUCAUCUUUCUCUUGGCAAUGCCCCAUAGAUUCUCUAUGGGCUUCAGGUCAGGUGAGUUUGCUGGCCAAUCAAGCACAGUAAUCCUAUGGUCAUUGAACCAGGCUUUGGUGCUUUUGGCAGUGUGGGCAGGUGCCAAGUCCUGCUUGAAAAUGAAGUCAGCAUCCCCAUAAAGCUCAUCUGCGGAAAGAAGCAUGAAGUGUUUCAAAAUCUCCUGGUAGACGGCUGUGUUGACCCUGGACUUAAUGAAGCACAGUAGACCAACACCAGCAGAUGACAUGGCUCCCCAAAUCAACACAGACUGUGGAAACUUCACACUGGACUUCAAGCAUCUUGCAGUGUGUGCCUCUCCAUUCUUCCUCCAGACUCUGGGUCCUUGGUUUCCAAAUGAGAUGCAAAAGUUGCUCUCAUCAGAAAAGAGGACUUUGGACCACUGAGCAACAGACCAGGUCUGUUUUUCUUUAGCCCAGGUAAGACGCUUCUGACGUUGUUUGUUGUUCAGGAGCGGCUUGACAAGAGGAAUACAACAUCUGAAGCCCAUGUCCAGGAUCCGUCUGUGUCUGGUGGCUCUUGAUGCACUGACUCCAGCCUCAGUCCACUCCUUGUGAAAGUCCCCAACACUUUUGAAUGGCCUUUUCCUGACAAUCCUCUCCAGGCUGUGGUCAUCCCUGCUGCUUGUGCAACUUUUUCUUCCACACUUUUCCCUUCAACAUAAAUUUCUAUUAAUGUGCUUUGAUACAGCACUUUGGGAACAUCCAACUCAAUUUGCAAUUACCUUUUGAGGCUUUCCCUCCUUAUGGAGGGUGUCAAUUAUGGUUUUCUGCACAACUGUCAGGUCAGCAGUCUUCCCCAUGAUUGUGAUAACUACUGAACAAGACUAAGAGACCAUUUAAAGGCUCAGAAACCCUUUGCAGGUGUUAUGGCUUACUUAGAUGAUUAGAGUGGGACACUGUGAGCCUAGAAUAUUGCACCUUUUCACAAUAUUCUAAUUUACUGAGAUUGAGGAUUUGGGGUUUUCAUGAGCUGUAAAAU